AAUGCGCGAAAGCGUGACGCAGCAACGCCGCGUGCGGGAAGACGGCCUUCGGGUUGUAAACCGCUUUCAGUUGGGACGAAGCUCUUCCGGUGAAUAGCCGGAUGGAGUGACGGUACCUUCACAAGAAGCCCCGGCUAACUACGUGCCAGCAGCCGCGGUAAUACGUAGGGGGCAAGCGUUGUCCGGAAUCAUUGGGCGUAAAGAGCGUGUAGGCGGCCCGGUAAGUCCGCUGUGAAAGUCCAGGGCUCAACCCUGGGAUGCCGGUGGAUACUGUCGGGCUCGAGUCCGGAAGAGGAGUGUGGAAUUCCUGGUGUAGCGGUGAAAUGCGCAGAUAUCAGGAGGAACACCAAUGGCGAAGGCAGCACUCUGGGACGUGACUGACGCUGAGACGCGAAAGCGUGGGGAGCAAACAGGAUUAGAUACCCUGGUAGUCCACGCUGUAAACGAUGGGCACUAGGUGUGGGGGGUGUCGACUCCCUCCGUGCCGAAGCUAACGCAUUAAGUGCCCCGCCUGGGGAGUACGGCCGCAAGGCUAAAACUCAAAGGAA
rnacentral:rRNA from 1 species